rnacentral:rRNA from 1 species
GGAGCUAUUGGCUUUGAAUUGUAUUGUGGAAAUGUAUUACCAACAGAGGUGCAGGUGCCAGCCUAUUGAAAUAAAGCGUCAAUGAGGGUGAGAAUCCUGUUUGUCAUGUGCAGCCCUUUGUGCACGGUGUAUAUUUGCUGAGUCACACUCCUUGGCAUUGGAAUGCAAAGUGGGUGGUAAGUUUCAUGUAAAGGUAAACAUGCAAUUGAGACUGAUAGCACACAAGUACCAUGAGGGAAAUAUGAAAAGGACUUUGAAAAGAGAAUUAAAUGAGUUUGUAUUUGCUGAACACAAAGUAAACAGACUUGAUUUGCUUGGUGGGAGUGUUGCACUUGCUUGACAAGAGCUUUGGGCUGUGGGUGUAAUGAUUCUUUCUUUGCAUGCCAGUUUCUAUUUGUACAUCUGAUUACCUUUGCACAUGAAUGAUAAGUCUCCUGUGGGGGGUGGAUUGCAUGUGCAUGUAAUGAUUUGUGUUUUGAUAAAUGUGUCUGGUGUAUGUGUGUGUUCCUGUGCUUGGGGAUGCUUCCUUCCUUGGACUUACAAGCCCUGACACACACAUGCUGGCAAAAUGCUUCUGCUUGACCCGUCUUGAAACACGGACCAAGGAGUCUAACAGAUGUGCAAAGUUUGAAGGUGGUAUACCUUUGUGUGCAAUGAAAGUGUCAGCUGGGAUAUGUGCACCAGCACCCAAUUAAUUAGCGGACAGAGGUUUGAGUUGGAGCAUAUCUAUUAGGACCCGAAAGAUGGUGAACUAUGCCUGAACAGAAUGAAUUCAGAGGAAACUCUGAUGGAGGUUCGUAUCGAUACUGACGUGCAAAUCGUUCGUCAUAUUUGGGUAUAGGGGCGAAAGACUAAUCGAACCAUCUAGUAGCUGGUUCCCUCCGAAGUUUCCCUCAGGAUAGCUGGAGUUGCUCAGUUUUAUCAGGUAAAGCGAAUGAUUAGAGGAAUUGGGGACAGGUUUGUCUUUGACCUAUUCUCAAACUUUAAAUGGGUAAUAUGUAGUGGUUGCUGUAUGGAACUUCUAAGAUAAAUGGCAAUAUUGGGUGGGCCAUUUUUGGUAAGCAGAACUGGCGAUGAGGG